AUGGGGAAAGACGCAGGAAUCCACCAGCCCACGGGACACACACGUAGCUGGGCAGAAGACCACGGAUUCGGCCACCUGAAGGAGCCCGGUGGGGAACCCGCACGUGGAGGCACGGGGAAAUCCCAGGUGCACACAGCACGGGGGCCGAGAUCGAGGGUCGCUUACGAAACCAGAGGACGAGCAAAUCCUCCUCAGGGAAGUCAUCACAUGACCCUGCUGGAUGAGGAAACCUCUGCAGGCUGCUUUAUAGAGAAAGCACCAAGAGCCAGCCACGGGGCCCUAAAAGCAUGGUGGGGUGCCCUAAAAGCACGGUGGGGCCGGCCCUGGCUCCAGCCCCAAGGAGGAAAGCCCCCGUAGGCUGCCACCCGGAUCCAGUGGGUGACACACAGGGAACCCCCAGAGACCCCAAAACCGAGGGGGUCUGGGGACAGACCCACCAGGAGCCCUUGCUGUGGGCUUGGGGGGGAGGCGUGCAGGGCACUGCAGUGACCCCAAAUCCUGAAUUAUGGGAUGGGGGCGGGCAGGGCCCUAUGGGGCUGUGGGGAAACCCCAAACCCAGGGGGGUAGAAGUGGAUCUGUCAGACAGCCCUGACCCUAAGCAGGACCCCCUGGGACGGCAGGGAACCCCCUCAGGGAGGUGAGGGGCACGUCAGGUCCCACCCGAAGCCAGGACCCCCUCCCCUCAGCAGGGCUCCCCCUCAUCCCUGACGCGUGUGGGUGUCCCUAUAUCUGUGUCCCCCCAUAUCCACGUGUCCUCCCUGCCCUCCCGUAUCCCCCCCA
rnacentral:lncRNA from 1 species